GUCGUCUCCGCAUGAAGUAUGCCGAGGCCUUAAGGGCCGUUGUAUUAUUUAGCUUUAAACAUUAAUGGUUAAUUGAGAAUUAUAUCAAAUUUAGGGGGUUAAACAUUAGUCUGUUAUAAAUGCCAUUCAAUUUCAAUUCAACACGACAAUUAAAAAGUAUUUUUAUAAAGCAAGCAUGUUUUUUUUUUAGUUUUAACCUUUCUUAAUAAAGAUGUAUAAUAAAAUAAUAAUGUAUUAAAACAGACUCCAGCUCAUUUUAUAAAAUUAUAAAUAAGGACAGCUCUAGAUUUGAAAACAUCAUUCCACAUCAGUUUUAAUAGUAUUUAAAAGUAUGCACAACAUUAUAAAACAAUUCAGUUGUGUAAAACGUACUGCUGUUACAGUCAGAAAGUCUGGGUUCUAAAAUAAUUAGGAUUUUGCCUGUUAACUAACAUAGUGUUAACAUCAGAAAAAAACCUGAUAGAUGUUAAAUGUAAAUUGUGGAUUGUACUACAAGUUUUAAAUAGAUCUUGUGUUAAUAAGAGUUCAUAAAUAAUUUACUAUCUGCCAUAGAUUUAUGACCUGUUUCAAUCUUGAUUCCUGAAAAUAGACACACAAGUCUUCAUCUAAUAUAGGAUUCAUUAUUGUCACCAUUCAUUAGUGUCACCAUAAAAUUGGCAUCUCUGUUGUGCUGCUCAGAAGAGGCGUGGACCUGUUUUUCCUGUAAAGCUACUUUAUGACAAAGCGCUAUAUAAAUAAAAUUGAAUUGAAUUUAAAUAUUAUAUUAUAUUAUUAUAUUGUGACCGCAAAAAGUGUUACUUGUCUAAUUAUUUUUUCUUAUUUUACAGGAACCAGAAAUCUGUGAUUUUACAACACUCGCUCAAAAAGGCUUUCACAUACAGUGCUGUUGACCUUGACUUAAUUGGGCAUUGUUUCUUGCCAGCAUCCCAGCUUUCCCCAUCCCCGAAACAAUAACUCAUUGAACUCAUAACUCAUUGAACUCAUUGAACUCAUAACUCAUUGAACUCAUAACUCAUUGAACUCAUAACUCAUCCAUAUAAUAACUCAUCCAUAUAAUAACUCAUCCAUAUAAUAACUCAUCCAACCCAGAAGUCAUGCAACCCAGAAGACAACAAAGACAAACAAUCUGCAGGUCCCUAAACAACGGGAAAAAGACCACAAAAGCCCAGUAAACGCCUGGCUCACCACCUAGAAAGCUCUGAAGAAACUGGACCUGCAGCACACACACAAUUAUACCACAAAUCACUUUAGCAUAGCUUAACAUUUUAUAGCUAUACAUUACAAAUACAGUACUUGAAUAAACAACUGUAUAGACAGUUCUACAUUUCGUUCAUAUAUUAAGUGAGUCCACUUUUGCAGUUAUAAUACUUUGUCUUUAUUGACAACAAUUGAAAUAAUCAUUUGAUCAGUUUUUUUUUACAUAAUUGCAUAAGGAGACUAUUACACAUUUGUUUCCUAAAAAGGUAUUAUCAAAUCUUUGUAUUGUUAAAGGUUAAUUUUACAAAGAAGUACCAUCAUAACAUUUGUGUACUGACUAUCAAUUGUUCAUUUCAUUGUUUGGUGUCAUCUUUUCAGUCACAAGAUAAUUAUCUUUUGUGUAAGGACUUUUAAUUUUAUGAAGCAUUAUCCUUAAGAGUUCUGUUAAGGGUUAAUAAAAAGGUAUCAAAUUUUGUGUUUCCCAUCAUAAAGAGGUCUUUUGAUAACUGGUUAGUCUGAUAAUCAAUUUGUAGAAGUAAAUCAUACAUAUAAACUUAAGAUUUAAGCUACCUACUGUUUGAAUUACACAUUAAUUAUUGUAUAUUUGUUUCAAGCUAAGUUAUACACACGAAAAAUACAUUAAAUUGCUGCUGAAAAAAAAAAA